GCAAGAUUAAAACUCAAAGGAAUAGACGGGGACCCGCACAAGCGGUGGAGCAUGUGGUUUAAUUCGACGAUACGCGAAGAACCUUACCUGGCCUUGACAUAGACAGAAUUUUCCAGAGACGGAGAAGUGCUAGUUUACUAGAACUGUCAUACAGGUGCUGCACGGCUGUCGUCAGCUCGUGUCGUGAGAUGUUGGGUUAAGUCCCGCAACGAGCGCAACCCUCGUGUUUAGUUACUAACAGUUCGGCUGAGGACUCUAAACAGACUGCCUGGGUAACCAGGAGGAAGGUGAGGACGACGUCAAGUCAUCAUGGCCCUUACGGCCAGGGCUACACACGUGCUACAAUGGGGUAUACAAAGAGCUGCAAUACGGUGACGUGGAGCAAAUCUCAUAAAAUAUCUCCCAGUUCGGAUUGAAGUCUGCAACUCGACUUCAUGAAGUUGGAAUCGCUAGUAAUCGUAGAUCAGCAAUGCUACGGUGAAUACGUUCCCGGGUCUUGUACUCACCGCCCGUCACACCAUGGGAAUUGAAUUCAUUCGAAGCGGGGAUGCUAAAAUAGCUACCUUCCACAGUGGAUUUAGUAACUAGGGUGAAUUCGUAACAAGGUA
rnacentral:rRNA from 1 species